UAGCAGUGUUGAACUCAGUUUUAUGAGGUAAAGCGAAUGAUUAGGGACUCGGGGGCGCUAUAUUGCCUUCAUCCAUUCUCAAACUUUAAAUAUGUAAGAAGCCCUUGUUGCUUAAUUGAACGUGGGCAUUCGAAUGUAUCAACACUAGUGGGCCAUUUUUGGUAAGCAGAACUGGCGAUGCGGGAUGAACCGAACGCGAGGUUAAGGUGCCAGAGUAGUCGCUCAUCAGACACCACAAAAGGKGU
rnacentral:ncRNA from 1 species